ensembl:lncRNA
GCGCCCCCUGCUGGUGGAUGGCUCAGGACGGGGCAGUUGCCAUGGGAGGCCCGCCGCCUGCUGGAAGGAAGAUGGUCAAUUCUUUUGAGCCACAAAGGCCCUGCAGAGUCCUGGAGUCAGUGUGGCCUGGCUUCCUGGGUGCACCUUGUGCUGGUGGAUUGCUCAGGACGGGACAGUUGCCGUGGGAGGUCCGCUGCCUGCUGUCAGGGAAGAUGGUCGAUGCUUCUGAGCAACAUAGGCCCACGUGGAUUCCGUGUGGCCUGGCAUCCACUGUGCACCCCAUGCUGGCGGGUGGCUCAGGACGGAGCAGUUGCCUUGAGAUGCCCACUGCCUGCUGGCACAGCAGAUGGUCAAUUCUUCUGAGCAAUGGAGUCCCCACUGAGUCAUGGAGUCGGUGUGGCCUGGCAUCCACGGUGCACCCUGUGCUGGUGGAUGGCUCAGGACGCAGUUUGUCAUGAGAGGUCUACCACUUGCUGGCAAAGAAGAUGGUCAAUUCUUUUGACCAACGGAGGCUGCCUUGAGUCCUUGAUUUGGUGUGGCCUGGCGUCUAUGGUGCACCCCAUGCUGGUGGAUGGCUCAGGAUGGGGCAGUUGCCGUGGAAGGCCCGCAGCCUGCUGCAAGGAAGAUGGUUGAUGCUUACGAGCAACAAAGGCUCCAUGGAGUCGUGAAGUCGGUGUGGCCUGGCAUCCACGGUGCACCCUGUGCUGGUGGAUGGCUCAGGACGGUGCAGUUUUCAUGGGAGGCGUGGCACCUGCUGGAAGGAAGAUAGUUGAUUCUCCUGAGUAAUGAAGGCCACGCAGAGUCCUGGUUUCAGUUAUCCACAGUGCACCCCGUGCUGGUGGGUGGCUCAGGACGCCAGGUUCUGGUCACAAAUAUGUGAAGCCGUAGACUAGCGGAUUUCAUAAGUACCACAGGAGUCUAGAUGACAUGGCCUUCCUGACCUGUGAACCUGUCUUUCUGAAGCACACUCAUUUCUUCUGCACCUUCCCAGUGUCAUUGGCAUGGAAGGAAGGCCCUUGUCCAAGAAAGAUGGUCUUCAUCUUGUGUGAUCUUUGAGAUGCCAUAAGGCCCCUGGAUACACAUGGUGUGGGCUCCUUUGGAGGCUUUUGGAUUUCUCCUGAAUGUGGCGUUGGUAUGAAAGGAAGGCCAGUGACCACAAGGGACGAUCUUCAUCUUGGGAGAUUUUUGGAGAUGGUGAAGUGCCUGUAAACAUGUGUGUCAUGGUCUCCUUCAGGCUGGUGGACACCUCAGGACGGUGGUGUUGGCAUGGAAGGAGGGCCUGUGUCUGCGAGGGAUGAUCAUCCUCUCAUGUGAUCCUUGGAGAUGCCAGGAAGCCCCUUGACACAUGUGGCAUGGACUCCUUCAGAGGCUUUUGGAUCCUUCGUGAAUGUGGCAUGGGCAUGCAAAGACAGACAGAGGCUGCAGGGAUGAACUUCAUCUUGGGGGAAUCUCUGGAGAUGGCAGGGAACCCCUGGACACAUGUGGCAUGGGCUCCUUCGGGUGCCGGUGGAUCCCUUCAUAUGGUGGCCAUGAUGAAUUGGCCAGGCCCAUGUUGGUGAGGGACAAUCAUCACCUCGUGCUAUUCUCAGAGAUGCCAGGAAGCUCCUGGACACACAUGGUGUAGGCUUCUUUGGAGGCUGUUGGAUCCCUCCUGAAUGUGAUGGUGUAAAAGGCAAACCUUUGUCAUGAGGGAUGAUCAUCGUCUUGUGUGGUCCUUGGAGAUGGCAGGAAGCCCUGGACAAUACACAGUGUUCGCUCCUUCAGAGGCUAUUGGAAUCCUCCUGGAUGUGGUGUGGGCAUGGAAGGAAGGCCAGUGGAGACAAUGGAUGAUCUUGCUCUUAGAAGAUCACUGGAGGUGGCAGGGAGUCCUAGGACACGUGUGGCGUGGGCCUCUUCAGGUGCUGGUGCUGUUGGCAUGAAAGGAAAGGAGGUAUCUUCGAGGGACAAUCUUCGCCUUGUGCGAUCCUCGGAGAUGCCACGAGGACUCUGGACACAUGUGGUGCGGGCUCCUUUGGAGGCUGUUGACUCCCUUCUGAAUGUGGUGCGGGCAUAGAAGGAAGGCCAUGAAGGACAAUUUUGGUCUUGGGAGAUCCC